AUUGAACGCUGGCGGCAGGCCUAACACAUGCAAGUCGAGCGGAUGAAGGGAGCUUGCUCCUGGAUUCAGCGGCGGACGGGUGAGUAAUGCCUAGGAAUCUGCCUGGUAGUGGGGGAUAACGUCCGGAAACGGGCGCUAAUACCGCAUACGUCCUGAGGGAGAAAGUGGGGGAUCUUCGGACCUCACGCUAUCAGAUGAGCCUAGGUCGGAUUAGCUAGUUGGUGGGGUAAAGGCCUACCAAGGCGACGAUCCGUAACUGGUCUGAGAGGAUGAUCAGUCACACUGGAACUGAGACACGGUCCAGACUCCGACGGGAGGAAGCAGUGGGGAAUAUUGGACGAAGGGGGAAAGCCUGAUCCAGCCAUGCCGCGUGUGUGAAGAAGGUCUUCGGAUUGGAAAGCACUUUAAGUUGGGAGGAAGUGCAGUAAGUUAAUACCUUGCUGUUUUGACGGUACCAACAGAAUAAGCACCGGCUAACUUCGUG
rnacentral:rRNA from 1 species